UGUAGUCAUAUGCUUGUCUCAAAGAUUAAGCCAUGCAUGUCUAAGUAUAAGCAAUUAUACAGCGAAACUGCGAAUGGCUCAUUAAAUCAGUUAUCGUUUAUUUGAUAGUACCUUACUACAUGGAUAACCGUGGUAAUUCUAGAGCUAAUACAUGCUGAAAAUCCCGACUUCGGAAGGGAUGUAUUUAUUAGAUUAAAAACCAAUGCCCUUCGGGGCUCCCUGGUGAUUCAUAAUAACUUCUCGAAUCGCACGGCCUUGCGCCGGCGAUGGUUCAUUCAAAUUUCUGCCCUAUCAACUUUCGACGGCAGGGUCUUGGCCUGCCAUGGUGACAACGGGUAACGGAGGGUUAGGGCUCGACCCCGGAGAAGGAGCCUGAGAAACGGCUACCACAUCCAAGGAAGGCAGCAGGCACGCAAAUUACCCACUCCCAGAACGGGGAGGUAGUGACGAAAAAUAACAAUACGGGACUCUAAUGAGGCUCCGUAAUUGGAAUGAGAACAAUCUAAAUCCUUUAACGAGGAUCUAUUGGAGGGCAAGUCUGGUGCCAGCAGCCAAUC
rnacentral:rRNA from 1 species